CUUGUCUCUGUAGGCAAGCAGUCUGCAUGUUAGCAGGCACAUGAAUCAAUCAAAAUACUUUUUGAUUGAUAUAUACGUGUACUGAGAGGAGAACCAUGUUAAAGAAUCACAGUGUGUGAUGUUAUAUUUCGUUUCCUGCUAAACUCCGAGGUUGCAUUCAUUUCCUUGAACAAAUGUUUGAACCUUUUGUUGUAAAUUUGUAGAUUGAAUUUAGUUGUCACAACUUUUUUGGUUGUUGCUUGCCUGAAUGAAAUCAGUAGACAUUAUUCAGAUAACUGAAUUAGACGUUGUUGUGUGUAGUCUUUGUUGGAAAUACAUACUGUACCGACAGACAAAUGAAGUUCACUGAGAAAUCUAUGGUUUUGACCAAGACGAGGAUUGAGUACUCUUAUCUCAUUCAUCAUUACAAGUUGUAUCUUUCAGAAUUAGGUGUUCGUACAGUUACCAUUUACUGUAUAUUAUUUUCUACAGUAACUGUCAGGAUUAGGUGUUUGUUGGUAAUAUAAAAUGAUAGAUGUAUAGAGUUCACCGAGAAAUCCAAGGUUAUGAUCAAGAUGAUAGGUUAAAAAUUAAGGAUCAAGUACUCUUGUCUCAUUGAUCAUUACAAGUUGUAAGAUUCAGGAUUAUCUCAUGCAGUGUUUAUCAAUAUCCAGGAUUAGGAAAAAAAAUGUACUCCUAUCUUGCAACUUUGUUUCAGCUUCAGGCAAAGUGCACAGUUAAGAACCUCAUGCUGCUGUGAGAGAAACUUAGAACAGUCUUUACUAUCUUUUUUUUUUCUUGACAAUCGUAUCUUGCCUGAAUCAAUUCAGUGCUCAUGUUCAGAUAACUGAAACUAGACACUGUCUUGUAGUGGAUGUAUAGAGUUCACCAAGAAAUCCAAGGUUGUGAGCAAGACGGCAGCUUUAGAAUUGAUGAUCAAGUACUCUUAUCUCAUUUAUUACUACAAGUUUUACGAUUCAGGAAUAGAGCGUCUAUCCGUGGCGCGGCCGCCUCCUUCCCCUCCCUCCACCACACGCUGCCUGCCGGAUCUCGCCGUUGAGCGCAUCGGCCCGCCGUCUCCAACCACCCCCGUCUCUGAUCCGAGCUGAGUACAGGGGAGCCACAGCUGCCACCGAGGACAAGGUCGCCUGUGGAAACCACCGCUACCUCCGGUCCUUCGAUCUCUCCCCUUCUCGCCACUCCUCACGGCCCGCUCCGCACGGCUCGGCCUUCUCGGCGGGGAUUUGCUCUUUGGCGAAGAGAGGCGGCUGCAGGCGCCAUGGUGCCGAUCCAGUCAUCGUUGGUAUUCAAGUUGCCACCUAACAAAUCUGUUUUUAUUUCUUAUUAGGUACCUCGAAGGUCAAGAGACCAAGGUAUCGUGAGGAGUGCAUAUGGCCUGAUGUUCCUUGUGUGUAUCAUGAGGAUUUGGGAGCAUCGGCGAUGGACAAUUAACUAGCUAGGUCAUGGUAUUACGAUGAGCCAGGUCAUGGUACACAGGCUAACUACACAAGCUUCUGCUGUUUUAUUGUUGGUCGUUCCCGUCCACUGCUGCCAACAGUCAAUUUUCUGCAGGGUUUUUAUUUCUUUCUCUUCCAUCGAAAGCUCCUUUUUGCCACUGAUUAAUUAGUUGAUGCAUGUGGAGAUUUUCGAUACUAGGAGAACCAAGUUUAAAUAUGUGCAAUUCCAUCUAUCUAGCAUCAAUGUCGGGUGAGGUUAGACUACAAGAAAGACUAGAUAUUAAGCUUGUCCAUUCUGUCUACACCUUUUGAAUCUGAAGUGACUACUGUUGUAAAUAAUGCUACUUGAGUACCUGGUUGAUUGGUUUUGUUUAUUGUGGCAUUGAGUAGCCUACUACAUUAGUGGUGUCAGCUAUAUUUUGUAAGUUUGUUAUCGAUUCCAUUUGGGUAUAUGUGUGUGUGAUUGAAAAAUAAUGGUUUAGAUAUGAAUUGCUACAGUUUUAUAUAAUACUCUUUGAUCUAUGCUGCUAGGUCUGCCGCUGCGUGCAUGACAACAUGAGGUGCCGCAAUCGGCGUGGUAUGCUGGUGGAUGAUGGCGACAGUGAGAUGGUUGGCAAGGAUUAUGAGAGGUCGGCGAGCAGCACUCCUUCCUCUCUUCCCUGUGGAGAAGAUGACCUGCAGCUCAUUGACUGCUGAGUUCCCUCGAGUCUCUCUUUCUUCCGGCAAGUAUAUAUCAUCUAUGGAGUUGGAAUUUCACCAGUUGCUCCAGAGCACAAAAACACAAUAACAGUUGGGAGGGUUGCUUUGUAUCCCUAGACCCACACCCACACCCGACCGCCAUCUCCCAUUUUCCUCAGUAUCGCGACCUGAUGCGACGUUGGCAGCGCAAUCAGUCGGAGGAGGCCAGCGGUGGCGAUGACGGCUCUGCGGUGGGGAAAGGUCGCUCGUCAUCGUGGCACCAGCAAUUCCACGAUCGCAUAAUACCCGCAUGUUGAUGACCUCCAGGACUCUCCGGCCUCCUCCCUCCAGGCGUACUAUUGUUCAAGAUAGUGUGUGUGACAUAUGUGGGAACGGGGAGGAAGAUGAAUAUCAUGUUGUUAUAUCAUGCACAAAAAGUAAGGCGUUCAGAUUUGCCAUGAGGAAAGAGUGGAGGCUUCCAGAAGAAAAGGAGUUCUGGUACACUGGAACAGACUGGCUACAAAUCCUACUGGACAAGUAUGAUUCAGAGAUAAGAAAGAAAAUUCUGCUGUUGUUAUGGAGAGCCUGGUUUCUACGAGAUAACUGUAUCCACAGUGAUGGCAAAGAAACCAUUUCGAGAUCGGUGAUGUUCCUUGUGCAGUAUGAGGAGGAAAUCAGGAAUUUGUCGCUAUCUGUUGUUGGACAGGGGAACAAGAGUUGCUGGUCCCUGUCUGCAUCUAUGCAGACACACCACACCUAGGAAUCAGCCGAACGCCGAGCCAAAUGCCCAGUGGAAAGAGCCGCCUGAAGGUGUUGUAAAACUGAACACUGACGCUGCCUUUUUGUCAGGCACGGGCCAAGCCUAGGCUGGCGCGAUCGCACGGGAUCAUACGGGGCAUGUUGUCUUCUCGGCGAGUAAAUCGAUGAAUAAAUGCAGAUCAGUUGAAGAGGCAGAGGGGCAAGCUAUCCUGAUGGGUCUGGUAUCGCUGUCGAGACACUGUACCAAGGCCCACUGAUCAUUGAGACUGACAUCAAAAUGAUUGCAAAUGAAUUGGGACAAGCCAGAUCAAGCCGAUCGGAUUGUUUUCUGGGUUGUCAGUGAGAUAAAAAACACAAGCCGGAUCUUCAGUUCAGUUCAGGCCAAGGCCAUGAAAAGGGAACAAAACUGUCUAGCACAUGAGCUUGGCUGCCAGAGCUAGACGGCAUGAGGACUCACUGAUAAUUGCGGACGUGCCCGAGGAGCUUCGUUCGCUGAUGCUAUCUGAAUGUACCAAGUGAUGUGUUUGGUCCUUUUUUAGGCUAUCUUGAACGAUUGCAGGUUUUAAUCAAGAAGUCCUCAAUAGGUGGACUGGCUCAAAAUGGAGAAGCACGCUGGUAGCUUUUUGGUUGAUUGUAUUAAGCAUUUAAGUUCGUAGCAAUUCAUACCAUCAAUAUCUUUGGGGUGCCUUGUACUCCUUCCGUAAAAUAAUACAAGAGCGUAGUGAUCUAAGCGCUCUUAUAUUAUAGUUUACAGAGGGAGUAAUAUUUUAGAAAUUGUGCCUUUUUUGGCCUAAUGUGGCGUGCUGUCCAUAGACAUCCUUACCCCAUUUCCUCCUCACAUAUGGCUUGGGUUUUGGGAUAGCAAGACAUACGAAGACAAUUUGGGGGUGCCGAUUCUCUCUCUCCCUCUUGCUAAUAGAAUUAUGAACAACCGGUAAGACUAAUAUUAUAGACCAUGUAUUCUUUGACUUUUGUGCUAACACAGGAAAAAUGUGUUGUAAA